rnacentral:misc_RNA from 1 species
GGGUGCGGUGCGGUGGUA